rnacentral:rRNA from 1 species
CUUUUAGAGAUAGAAGUGUUCUCUUCGGAGACAAAGUGACAGGUGGUGCAUGGUCGUCGUCAGCUCGUGUCGUGAGAUGUUGGGUUAAGUCCCGCAACGAGCGCAACCCUUAUUGUUAGUUGCCAGCAUUCAGUUGGGCACUCUAGCGAGACUGCCGGUGACAAACCGGAGGAAGGCGGGGACGACGUCAGAUCAUCAUGCCCCUUAUGACCUGGGCUACACACGUGCUACAAUGGCGUAUACAACGAGUUGCCAAUCUGCGAAGGUGAGCUAAUCUCUUAAAGUACGUCUCAGUUCGGACUGCAGUCUGCAACUCGACUGCACGAAGUCGGAAUCGCUAGUAAUCGCGGAUCAGCACGCCGCGGUGAAUACGUUCCCGGGUCUUGUACACACCGA